CCUACGGGAGGCUGCAGUGAGGAAUAUUGGUCAAUGGCCGGAAGGCUGAACCAGCCACGUCGCGUGAGGGAAUAAGGCCCUAUGGGUCGUAAACCUCUUUUGUCAGGGAGCAAAGGCGUCCACGUGUGGACGAGAGGAGAGUCCCUGACGAAAAAGCAUCCGCUAACUCCGUGCCAGCCGCCGCGGUAAUACGGAGGCUGCGAGCGUUAUCCGGAUUUAGUGGGUUUAAAGGGCUCGUAGGCGCAGUGUCAAGUCAGCGGUAAAAUUUCGGGGCUCAACCCCGUCGUGCCGUUGAAACUGACGCCCGUGAGUGAGUGAGAAGUAAGCGGAAUGCGUGGUGUAGCGGUGA
rnacentral:rRNA from 1 species